CUUGCUCUUAUGAAGUUAGCGGCGGACGGGUGAGUAACACGUGGGUAACCUACCCAUAAGACUGGGAUAACUCCGGGAAACCGGGGCUAAUACCGGAUAAUAUUUUGAACUGCAUAGUUCGAAAUUGAAAGGCGGCUUCGGCUGUCACUUAUGGAUGGACCCGCGUCGCAUUAGCUAGUUGGUGAGGUAACGGCUCACCAAGGCGACGAUGCGUAGCCGACCUGAGAGGGUGAUCGGCCACACUGGGACUGAGACACGGCCCAGACUCCUACGGG
rnacentral:rRNA from 1 species